AAUUUUUUUUGUGCUCCUUUAACUUACAAAUUUUUUUUAUUUUGCUUCUUAAACUUACAAAAAAACUUUUUUUGUGCCCCUUUACUUAUAAAGUCAAGAAAGUCAGAGACUUUACUCCUUCUUAUGCAUGGGUGAAGUGUGAGAGACCAGAAGACACAAACGGCUAUGAGAUUUUCAGAGCAGCGAAGAUAACAGGACGUAAUGGCAAAGUGUUUGGAUCAGAAGAAAGGUUUGUGCGAUUGAGUCUCAUCAGAUCACAAGAUGACUUUGAUCAGCUUAUUGAUAUGUUGAAAAUAUUAGUCUCCCAGGAAGCUGUUCCAUCUGAAAAUUUUAUGUACAUAUAAAUCUUAGGUUAUAUGCCAUCUUCCUCAACCAAUGUCUGAGCAGUUUAUAGGUCAGAAAGGCAAACAAACCUCCCAGCAUCACGGUAGAGAUAGAAAAGAACGGUUGUGAACAACCAUCUUAUCUCUUCAAUAUGCGGUGUGAUUAUGGAAGCUCCAGAAAGGCAGAAACAUAAGCGAGUGGCGAGUGCCAUGGAUGCCACAACCACCCAAAGCAUCUUAUGCGUAAGAUCGAUCAUGUCAAUCAUUCAUCUUUUGUUCUACUCUUUUCACACCACAUGUUUUGUGUGUUUGGGUCCAUUCUACACUAGUCGCAUCUCUAUUAUUAAUUUGUUUUGUUUGGCACCGCCCUUUUCCUUUCUCAUUA